GGGGGGGGGGGGGGGGGGGGGGGGGGCGUGGGGGGCGGGCGGGCAGGUGGGGGGCUUGCUCCUCGGGCGGUAGGGGCGGACGGGUGAGUAACGCGUGGAUAACCUACCUAUAAGACUGGGAUCACUUCGGGAAACCGGAGCUCAUACCGGAUGAUAUAUUGCACCGCAUGGUUCAAUAGUGAAAGACGGUUUUGCUGUCACUUAUAGAUGGAUCCGCGCCGCAUUAGCUAGUUGGUAAGGUAACGGCUUACCAAGGCAACGAUGCGUAGCCGACCUGAGAGAGUGAUCGGCCACACUGGAACUGAGACACGGUCCAGACGCCUACGGGAGGCAGCAGUAGGGAAUCGUCCGCAAAGGGCGAAAGCCUGACGGAGCAACGCCGCGUGAGUGAUGAAGGUCUUCGGAUCGUAAAACUCUGUUAUUAGGGAAGAACAAAUGUGUAAGUAACUAUGCACGUCUUGACGGUACCUAAUCAGAAAGCCACGGCUAACUACGUG
rnacentral:rRNA from 1 species